rnacentral:rRNA from 1 species
ACGCACGCUGGCGGCAGGCCUAACACAUGCAAGUCGAGCGGACCCUUCGGGGUUAGCGGCGGACGGGUGAGUAACGCGUGGGAACGUGCCCUUUGCUUCGGAAUAGCCCUGGGAAACUGGGAGUAAUACCGGAUACGCCCUUUUGGGGAAAGAUUUAUCGGCGAAGGAUCGGCCCGCGUUGGAUUAGGUAGUUGGUGGGGUAAUGGCCUACCAAGCCGACGAUCCAUAGCUGGUUUGAGAGGAUGAUCAGCCACACUGGGACUGAGACACGGCCCAGACUCCUACGGGAAGCAGCAGUGGGGAAUCUUAGACAAUGGGGGAAACCCUGAUCUAGCCAUGCCGCGUGAGCGAUGAAGGCCUUAGGGUUGUAAAGCUCUUUCACCGGGGAAGAUAAUGACGGUACCCGGAGAAGAAGCCCCGGCUAACUCCGUG